UACGUAGGGGGCAAGCGUUGUCCGGAAUCAUUGGGCGUAAAGCGCGUGUAGGCGGCCCGAUAAGUCCGCUGUGAAAGUCCAGGGCUCAACCCUGGGAUGCCGGUGGAUACUGUCGGGCUCGAGUCCGGAAGAGGUGAGUGGAAUUCCUGGUGUAGCGGUGGAAUGCGCAGAUAUCAGGAGGAACACCAAUAGCGAAGGCAGCUCGCUGGGACGGUACUGACGCUAAGGCGCGAAAGCGUGGGGAGCAAACAGG
rnacentral:rRNA from 1 species